UGACCUGUAUACAAGUAACUGCCAAGCCAUAAACUCAAUAGAUGCAAGUGAUGGGAAGAAAUCAUCAUUUUAAUGUCUUAUAUUAACUAGCUACAAUGUAAUUUGGCAUCGCACCAUAGUCAUUGUGCGCGAACAUUUUUAAGCAACUCUGAGUUUUAACAUCCCAUAGCCGGACAGUCUUGUCUAUUGAAGAUGAAAGAAGUAGCUGCAUCCAAGUUUGACAUUGCAUGUUAGUAUGUAUGUUUUAAAAGUGA
rnacentral:lncRNA from 1 species